rnacentral:rRNA from 1 species
AGGGUUCGAUUCUGGCUCAGGAUGAACGCUGGCGGCGUGCUUAACACAUGCAAGUCGAACGGGAUCCAUCAGGCUUUGCUUGGUGGUGAGAGUGGCGAACGGGUGAGUAAUGCGUGACCGACCUGCCCCAUACACCGGAAUAGCUCCUGGAAACGGGUGGUAAUGCCGGAUGCUCCGACUCCUCGCAUGGGGUGUCGGGAAAGAUUUCAUCGGUAUGGGAUGGGGUCGCGUCCUAUCAGGUAGUCGGCGGGGUAACGGCCCACCGAGCCUACGACGGGUAGCCGGCCUGAGAGGGCGACCGGCCACAUUGGGACUGAGAUACGGCCCAGACUCCUACGGGAGGCAGCAGUGGGGAAUAUUGCACAAUGGGCGCAAGCCUGAUGCAGCGACGCCGCGUGCGGGAUGACGGCCUUCGGGUUGUAAACCGCUUUUGAUCGGGAGCAAGCCUUCGGGUGAGUGUACCUUUCGAAUAAGCACCGGCUAACUACGUGCCAGCAGCCGCGGUAAUACGUAGGGUGCAAGCGUUAUCCGGAAUUAUUGGGCGUAAAGGGCUCGUAGGCGGUUCGUCGCGUCCGGUGUGAAAGUCCAUCGCUUAACGGUGGAUCCGCGCCGGGUACGGGCGGGCUUGAGUGCGGUAGGGGAGACUGGAAUUCCCGGUGUAACGGUGGAAUGUGUAGAUAUCGGGAAGAACACCAAUGGCGAAGGCAGGUCUCUGGGCCGUUACUGACGCUGAGGAGCGAAAGCGUGGGGAGCGAACAGGAUUAGAUACCCUGGUAGUCCACGCCGUAAACGGUGGAUGCUGGAUGUGGGGCCCGUUCCACGGGUUCCGUGUCGGAGCUAACGCGUUAAGCAUCCCGCCUGGGGAGUACGGCCGCAAGGCUAAAACUCAAAGAAAUUGACGGGGGCCCGCACAAGCGGCGGAGCAUGCGGAUUAAUUCGAUGCAACGCGAAGAACCUUACCUGGGCUUGACAUGUUCCCGACGGUCGUAGAGAUACGGCUUCCCUUCGGGUGUGGUUCACGGGUGG